rnacentral:rRNA from 1 species
UACGUAGGGACCAAGCGUUGUUCGGAUUUACUGGGCGUAAAGGGCGCGUAGGCGGCAAUUCAAGUCAUCUGUGAAAUCUCCGGGCUUAACUCGGAACGGUCAGAUGAUACUGCUUUGCUAGAGUGCGGAAGGGGCAAUCGGAAUUCACGGUGUAGCAGUGAAAUGCGUAGAUAUCGUGAGGAACACCAGAGGCGAAGGCGGCUACCUGGACAAUUGCUGACGCUCAGGCACGAAAGCGUGGGGGGCAAAAGGG